CAUGGUAGAAGUAUCAAAGCUCCGGCGGUACAGGAUGGACCCGCGUCUGAUUAGCUAGUUGGUAAGGUAACGGCUUACCAAGGCGACGAUCAGUAGCCGACCUGAGAGGGUGAUCGGCCACAUUGGAACUGAGACACGGUCCAAACUCCUACGGGAGGCAGCAGUGGGGAAUAUUGCACAAUGGGCGAAAGCCUGAUGCAGCAACGCCGCGUGAGCGAUGAAGGCCUUCGGGUCGUAAAGCUCUGUCCUCAAGGAAGAUAAUGACGGUACUUGAGGAGGAAGCCCCGGCUAACUACGUGCCAGCAGCCGCGGUAAUACGUAGGGGGCUAGCGUUAUCCGGAAUUACUGGGCGUAAAGGGUGCGUAGGUGGUUUCUUAAGUCAGAGGUGAAAGGCUACGGCUCAACCGUAGUAAGCCUUUGAAACUGGGAAACUUGAGUGCAGGAGAGGAGAGUGGAAUUCCUAGUGUAGCGGUGAAAUGCGUAGAUAUUAGGAGGGACACCAGUUGCGAAGGCGGCUCUCUGGACUGUAACUGACACUGAGGCACGAAAGCGUGGGGAGCAAACAGGAUUAGAUACCCUGGUAGUCCACGCCGUAAACGAUGAGUGCUAGCUGUCGGAGGUUACCCCCUUCGGUGGCGCAG
rnacentral:rRNA from 1 species